UACGUAGGGUGCGAGCGUUAAUCGGAAUUACUGGGCGUAAAGCGUGCGCAGGCGGUUAUGUAAGACAGGUGGGAAAUCCCCGGGCUUAACCUGGGAACUGCAUUUGUGACUGCAUAGCUAGAGUACGGUAGAGGGGGAUGGAAUUCCGCGUGUAGCAGUGAAAUGCGUAGAGAUGUGGAGGAACACCGAUGGCGAAGGCAGCCCCCUGGGUCAAGAUUGACGCUCAUGCACGAAAGCGUGGGGAGCAAACAGG
rnacentral:rRNA from 1 species